AAGAUGGAGGCAACUCGCUCAGUGUUUCCUGUUUCAUUCUUAGACUGUGGCGAUGGUAAGUAGCAGCUUUUCACUUGUUACCUGGCAUCUUUUCAGCCACCAAUGAUAGUCAUUGUAUGUUAUCAACAUUUCACUAACUAUGUUUUCUCUCAUGUUUAAAAUAGGCCGACCAAGAGCAAAAUAGAAGACAACAAUUUCUCAAAGGAGGUUCAAAACUAAUGCCUACAAGAUUACCAAGAGGAUGGUUCGGGGCUCUUACAUGACUCCGGGAAGUCAACACUUGGUGGAUGAGAUCCUUCACAGCAUGUUGUUUCUGGGCAAAAUCAACAACAUCCCCUUUUCUCCAGAAGAAAUCUUCCCUAAUCCUUUUGUGUU